rnacentral:rRNA from 1 species
AGUGAACGCUGGCGGUAGGCCUAACACAUGCAAGUCGAACGGCAGCACAGUAAGAGCUUGCUCCUACGGGUGGCGAGUGGCGGACGGGUGAGGAAUACAUCGGAAUCUACUUUUUCGUGGGGGAUAACGUAGGGAAACUUACGCUAAUACCGCAUACGACCUACGGGUGAAAGCAGGGGAUCUUCGGACCUUGCGCGAUAGAAUGAGCCGAUGUCGGAUUAGCUAGUUGGCGGGGUAAAGGCCCACCAAGGCGACGAUCCGUAGCUGGUCUGAGAGGAUGAUCAGCCACACUGGAACUGAGACACGGUCCAGACUCCUACGGGAGGCAGCAGUGGGGAAUAUUGGACAAUGGGCGCAAGCCUGAUCCAGCCAUACCGCGUGGGUGAAGAAGGCCUUCGGGUUGUAAAGCCCUUUUGUUGGGAAAGAAAAGCAGCAGGUUAAUACCCCGCUGUUCUGACGGUACCCAAAGAAUAAGCACCGGCUAACUUCGUG